UACAGAGGGGGCAAGCGUUGUUCGGAAUUACUGGGCGUAAAGGGCGCGUAGGCGGCCUGCUAAGUCGAACGUGAAAUCCCUGGGCUCAACCCAGGAACUGCGUCCGAUACUGGUUGGCUUGAAUCCGGGAGAGGGAUGUGGAAUUCCAGGUGUAGCGGUGAAAUGCGUAGAUAUCUGGAGGAACACCGGUGGCGAAGGCGACAUCCUGGACCGGUAUUGACGCUGAGGCGCGAAAGCCAGGGGAGCAAACGGG
rnacentral:rRNA from 4 species